UAUCUGUAUGGGCCUAUGGCCGUAAUAAAUUUUCUUUCUUCUUUCUUCUUCUUCAUGUGCACUUACUUUAGAGUAAGCCCCAUUGAACUUUGCCCUCUGCAAUCUUCUUGAAUGCUUUUGUUCAGUACCCUCAGCUUUCUUAGGUAGACCUUUGACAAACUGUUUUGAAGGCCAGCUAACUGCCAAGGAUUGCUACAAUCAUUAAAUCACAAAGUUCAAACAUUGUCCAGGGCUUCAGGGGAAGCUAGCAAGAUGAUUAUUUGACACAUAGGCCAACUGUGAUUAAUUUGGUGUAAGCGCUGAGGAAGGGAGUUUCCCUGCUUUUGUCUGUUUUUUCAGCCAUGAGAUUAAAGUACGUGCGUUGGAUGCUAGGGCUGCAGAUUAUUUUUCUGACAGAUGCUCUGGACCUUUAAGAAUGACGCAGCAGGCAGCAAUUCAACAGGCAAUGCUAUCCCUCAUCACUUUAUGUCCAUACAAAAUAAAACUUAAAUUUCUGUCUGCCUUGUAGCUGUUAAAAGCUCAAUACAACUGUCGGGGAGCGGUGGUGUUAAAAUGACAACUAUAAACUAGAAUUCUGAACAAUGUGACAAUUGUCUAGGUAUGCCUAGGUAUGCUAUGAUAUGCCUCAGUUUAAUCACUUCUGAACUCGAGACUGGAUUAGUUGUUUAGCCUGGUGGGAAUUACCCAAAGGGGAUGAAAAAGGGGAACCAGGAUCAUGGUGACAGUUGUACUCACCACCACAUGAAAUGUGUAAGCCUGGCAUUUGCUGGGACUGAUGCCUGAUAGCAUUGGUACCCAGCAUGUAGAAGGAUAAUGGCUAAGGUCACACAUGCUAUAAUUCAUAUAGAACCUGCUGUGUAUCUUCUACUUCAGGGCUGGGGGACCUGCGGCCACCCAGAUGUUGCUGGACAACAACCAGGGCUGUCCCAAGACCAUUUGCUGCCUGAGACAAAGAACAGGAUGGCAAUUCCCACCCCCCAAUCUGUUUCAUAAUAAAUAAUAAAGCAUCCAUUUUCUUUUCACAAAUGGAAAAUUCAUUUCUUUAGGAUGUCCACCUGUCAGGGCCUUCAAAUGUUAGGGCUUCCUAAAACACUUUGAUGUGCCAAGCCGCUUAUCUCCUGACCUGAACUGGCCUGGUCACAAGGAGACUGCGCCAGUGCGACAUGUUCCAUGGUGCAUGUUCAUUUGCUCUCCUUCAACUACCUUUGCUCAUCUUGUCUAUUUAAAACAUAAAUCGUUUGAGGUGCAGUCAAUUGCUCUAAGGGCUUUCCUCUGGAAAAAAAUGUCUCUGGUGCCAGGUCUCUGCUUUGAAAUGCUUAACAAAAGCCCUGAGCAAGUCAGAAUGCUUUUAAAUCUCUUCUGAAUAGUAACCCACCCACUCACACACAACCACUUAGAUCAGUGAGAACAGAUUUUGGGUAGAGAGUUUUGAAAGGACUCCUCUCCCUUUAAUAGCUACUUCACAAUUCAGUGUCAUCUAGGGUGAUGCAUUGCCAAAAAAGUGCGGUCCAUCAGGACUUCUCAAUUGUACCUUUGCAUGCACGCUAAAACCCAAGACUCUGCUCAGGUGACCUGAUUAGUCUAGUCAGGUUAACUGUUGGUUUUAUUUGCAAGCUUCUUUGUCUUCACUUUUUUCCAAACCAGCUAGUUUAUAUUUGCAUUUGGCUUUAUUGGUUUUUAAAUGCAAUUAUCCUUGAUUUCUCCCUAGAAUCUUCUGCAUAUGUUUAAAACCAUGCAGUUAAGCCAUGUUCAUUGUGUUCUAAGGUUAUUUUGCAAGUACACUUCUUAAGUUAUGUGCAGAAUUUUUGUAAAUUCAAUACCCCUACUACAUGUGGAAGACAAUGGCUGGUUCUGUGUGAUAGUUGGGGAAAUGAUUAGAAAGCUCUGACAUCUGCUAUCUGGAAGACAAUGUCAUUAUAAUCAAAGCCAUUAAGUCAUCAAUAAAGUGAGCUGAAUUAAAUUACUGGCAGCGGACAUCACCCUGCUGAAAUCAGUUGCCAAUUGAUUCUGAUGAACAGUGAUACAGCAUAUUUGACAGGAGCAAGAACCCCAGCAUUUGUCAGGUCAGCACAGUGAGAAAGUUAUAUAUCCUGAUUGCCUGAAAGCGAAGUUCAUGUCCUCAAUCAGUAGUAAUAGCUGCGGAUCUAGCUGUUCUAGCUCUGGAUCAGGCUUCCUCAAACUUGGUCCUCCAGAUGUUUUGAGACUACAAUUCCCAUCAUCCCUGACCACUGGUCCUGCUAGCUAGAGAUCAUGGGAGUUGUAGGCAAAAAACAUCUGGAGGGUUGAGUUUGAGGAAGCCUGCUCUGGAUCCACCUAAUAUCCAACUGCUGCCUCUGGGUUGUAUCUGACUUAAUCAUACUCGGAGUAGACCAUGGAUUUCCAUGAUUCCUCUCUGAGUAUGGUUUAGUUGGCUGCAUCUCUCUGAAUAAAUCAGGGCCUACUUGUUUCAUUGUCUAUCUUACCCAUCCCUAAGGUCUGAGUCAGUUUCAGAACAUUUGGGCACCUGAGGUGAACGACAAAAUGGUACCUCCCUCCAUCCCAGGGAGAAAGGGGCGAGUAGAGAUAUAUACCAGGAACAGAGAGGGGAAUAUACCUUGGUCAAUGCAGGUGACAAAUGUUAUCUGCUACAAUAUUGUGAAAUGUACAGAAUGCUUUGAAACAGGACAUGCUAGAAGCAGAUUAUUUGGUCAAUAGCUAUUGGCUGAAAUAGGUAGCACAUUUUCACAACUUCCCAGGCUAUAGUUCAAACAAAAAUUAAAAGCCGAGGCCUAGUUCAAACAUAACACUAAAGCAGUGGUUCUCAAGCCUUUAUUUCUGGGCCACAGUUUCAGAAUAAAAUUGUCUUGAGCCACACUGAAUUUUUGAAUUGAUAAGAAAAACAUUAGAAAACACAAUUCGGACUGUCCUCAGUAUCACUUGAUGCUCUUGCUCUCAUUUUGAAAAAGAUUUCUAUACAUAUUAGGCAAAAUUUAAAAAAAAAUACUUGGAUACUAUACUAUACUACAAUGAAAUGUUUGGUGCUUCUUUGCUUGUCCUUGAAUCUUCCCAUCACUCUCCCAUCACUUGUCUUCCUCUCCAGCCACACCAGGCUGGUGCACUACACCCUUUGAGAACCACUGCAUUAAAGCAUAAUUUAGUGCUACGUGGAUGAGCUUGCUUGAACCUUUGAUACGUGAUUCAAGGGUAGAGAUUGUGAGAAGUCAUCUUCCAAAGCAAUCCCACCCCGCAAAUUUGGAGCCUUCUUGCCUCUAGCCUAGGCAUCACCCCUUUUCCUGUUCCCGCUGGGGUCUUCUUUUGCUUGCGCCUGCGGGCUCUCUUCCGGCCAACGCUGCCAAUGACAGAUCUUAAAACCUUGGGGUCGGUGAGAUUCGGCAAUCGCAGCACCUUGCGCCUGCUGGACCUCCUGAGCGGAGCGGGUUGUGUCUUGCUCCUGGUGAAGUAGGGUGAAAUGUGAGGAGUGUUGCAAGCCGGUGCAGAGGCAGAAGGUCUGGCCGAGUUGGUAGAGCACGGCUUCUCUGUCAGAGGCUUCUUCCUAACCCAGUGGAACACCAGUAUCAUACGCCUCUUAGAUGGGUUGGACAUGCUGAAGAAGGUGCUGGAGGCCCAAAGACCAGGGUGACUUCAGAGCAGAGGACGCAGCAGACAGUUCCCUAUCAAUGGUGCCAAAUCCAAACAAAUGUUAGCUCCAGUCUUCUUAAAUCGAUCCAGCAAUUAUGAACGUUAAAUAAGGGAUUAAUUCCUCAGGCAGUAUGAAAAGACUUUCUGUGGCUUUUCAAUAGAUGGGAGCCCCCAACUACUGCCACUGUUGACAGCCUGUUGCCCCUUUUAACUCUGCUUGAAUGGGUUAUGUCACAAUGGUUCCUUCAUCAGGUGCUUGUGAGCAUGAAAAUGUUGUUGGGAGUUUCAGCAAUGAAGGCUCAGGCAUAACAUACUGUUUGAAAGUCUGAACAUUUCCUCUUUUUUUAUUUAACAAAAUUUAUAUACCACUUUUAUAAUUUAUAUACAAAUUUUUGAGAGGGGAAUAUACCUUGGGAUCUGCUGCCUCUGUGGAUUCUGCCACCUGAGGCAGUUGCCUCACCUUGCCUCAUGGGUAGGCUGGCCCUGGUAGGACUGGCUAUUGCUAGCAUUAUCCACAGUCAUCACUUCUGCCACUGGAGCCCAUUAACUAGAGGGCAGUGAAAUUCUUUAUAGUAGGAAGGUGUUUAUUAUGAAUUUGUGGUGAACUCUACUCCAGAGGUAGGGGACUUUUCCAACUGGGAGGCUGGAUCUUGAGGUUGCCAACCAGGCUUUUGCACUUGCCAACAUCAACUGCUUACAAACCCCACUUUAGGCAAGGAGCCAUGUCCUAUGACGCUCGGGGGAAAUGGUCUCAUGUUGGCCUCAUUAGUCCUACACAUUGGAGAUUCCCAGCUGCUGCUCUAACCAACAGAAAAAGAGACUUCCAAGACAGAAGAGAACUCCAUUCAUUACAAAGUUUCCCUUCUGUUAUUCUGCAUACUUUCCCCUCUUGAUGACCUCUGCUAAUUUUGUUUUUCUAGUGUACUGUAACUGACAAUGCAUUCUUCAGGCUCACUUUUCUUCCUCUCUUGGAUUAUCUUAUUCCUUUCUGUGCGUUUCAUGAAGCAUGGAGAGUAGCCCAAUUCAUCUUAUCUUCUUCACUUGCCAGGACCAUGGAAUACAGUAGCACAACUACAGGAGUAAGAUUUAAUUGAGAUACCCUGUAGAGCCACAAGUCACAUAGAAAUAAGUUAUAUUGUCUCUGGAAAAUAUAUUUGCAGCACACUUUUAAAAAGUAAUGACUUGUAAUGCUUUUCCUUCCUAGUCGUGCUGAAGAACAAACAAGAAUAGCCUUGUCAUAUGAAACCAAGGCUUCUAUAACUUGCAAUUCCUCAGUUAACCUUCAAACAAGUUUUUAUAAGUCAUCUGCCAAACCACUGAAAUAAUUUUUUUUUUGGGGGGGGGGGAA